rnacentral:rRNA from 1 species
GACGGAGGGUGCUAGCGUUGUUCGGAAUCACUGGGCGUAAAGGGUGCGUAGGCGGCGCGGUAAGUCGGGUGUGAAAUCUCGGAGCUUAACUCCGAAACUGCAUUCGAUACUGCCGUGCUUGAGGACUGGAGAGGAGACUGGAAUUUACGGUGUAGCGGUGAAAUGCGUAGAUAUCGUAAGGAAGACCAGUGGCGAAGGCGGGUCUCUGGACAGUUCCUGACGCUGAGGCACGAAGGUCAGGGGAGCAAACGGG